rnacentral:tRNA from 1 species
UGUUUUAUAGUUUAUUUAGAAUAGUAAAUUGCAAAUUUACAGGUAUUUUUUUUUUAUUUUAAAACUU